rnacentral:rRNA from 1 species
CACGGGGGUUGCGAGCGUUGUCCGGAAUUACUAGGCGUAAAGGGCAGGCAGGCGGAUCCAUAAGUUUAUCGUUUAAGGCGUCGGCUUAACCGGCGUAGGGCGGUAGAUACUGUGGAUCUGGAAUGCGGUUGGGGAAGACAGAAUUCCUGGUGUAGCGGUGGAAUGCGCAGAGAUCAGGAGGAAUACCGAAGGCGAAGGCAGUCUUCCAAGCCGUUAUUGACGCUCAACUGCGAAGGUGUGGGUAUCAAACGGGAUUAGAUACCCCCGUAGUCCCUGAGCGGGCU